UGUUCAAAAAUUCAUCCAUUUGUAUUGUUAAAAAUUGACGUGGUUAACGAAAUAAUAAGACGGUUAAAACGUGGCAUGUUACAUGUAUCUCAUGUUGACGUGAAGGGAUUAGUUUUCAGUAGUAUAAAUGGAUGAAUUUUUUAAUA
rfam:Gossypium raimondii Chr10_contig_50, whole genome shotgun sequence.